UACGGAGGGGGCUAGCGUUGUUCGGAAUUACUGGGCGUAAAGCGCACGUAGGCGGAUCAGCAAGUUAGGGGUGAAAUCCCGGGGCUCAACCCCGGAACUGCCUUUAAAACUGUUGGUCUGGAGGUCGAGAGAGGUGAGUGGAAUUCCGAGUGUAGAGGUGAAAUUCGUAGAUAUUCGGAAGAACACCAGUGGCGAAGGCGACUUACUGGACACAUAUUGACGCUGAGGUGCGAAAGCGUGGGGAGCAAACAGG
rnacentral:rRNA from 1 species